rnacentral:lncRNA from 1 species
GGAAUCUUGGGAAUUACAGCAGACUCAGAAGAGGUAGUUCAUAAGUAAAAGAAAGUAUAUCCAAUCCAUUUGAGAAAUAACAUUUUCUGUUUUGAUGGUUUAAAAUGUCCUCUCUGAGUGCCUGCAGAAUUGAAACCUCCUGUCUGGUGCUCUAGUAUCUUUGGGUUCCAUGGAGAUGGAUUUCUUCCCGGGCUCCAGGGCAGGCAGUGUCAGCUUUCUCCAUUAUGACAGAAAGACAAAAGGUUCCAGGGCUAAAAAGAGAAGCAAAAGUGCUCAAACGUCACUGAAGGAAGAAAGAAAAGAGAAUGAAGGAAAAAGGCUGUGACAAAUUGCUCAAAGAUUCUCUUCCCUGUUCUCCCAGAUGCUCUGACUCUUCCAGCCUUCAACUGUCCAGUGGUACAGCCCCAGGCAAAGUUGGAUAUUUGUCAGGGAAAAAUCUAUUAUUUUUCAUUAUUUUUGCUGAGAUUUACAGAAUAAAUGUGUUUGGGUAAAUAGAAGGAGGCACCUCCCUCCAACCCUGAAGCACAAAAUGUUCUGUACUGUGUGUUUAUUUAUGCUGUGUAAGCUCCAACAGGCAGAGCUUGCUCUUUCACCAAUAGACCUUUCAGUGGAACUGCAUUUCAAACUGUGGACAAUCCUCUAGACUGCUACCAGAAGUUCAGAUGUCUCUCUGUCUGAAGAUCAGGGCAGAGAUGUGGGGAACUUCUGGAACGCAUUUUGGUUGUGCAAGCUCCUGGAAUGUGUGAGAUGCACACUGUCAGCUAUCUGCCUCGGGAAGGGCACAGUGUGUGCACGUGUGGUGCACGCAUCACACCAUCCAAGCAUGGUGGAUCCUCAGGUGCCUUGGUUUUCUCCUGACUAAUAGCCUGCUCAUGCACUGGUUAUGUUUGAUAUGGUGACAUGGUAGUGGAGGAACCAUGGGAAAGGGUGCAGCUAAGAUAAGUAUCCCUAGGGCUUUGUUGAAGUGACAGGAGGAGGCACAAAGAUCUACAGAAGGUCUCUAUACCA